rnacentral:lncRNA from 1 species
CUCGGUAUGUGUUUGAACAGUUUGCUUGUUUAGGUGAUUUGAUGGCUUUCCUAAAAUAGGUUCACAAAUUGGUAUUUACUUUUGUUUACUCAGAAAGAUAACAUUUCUUAAAUUAUUUCUUGGAGAGUGCAAGAGGGUGUAUUUGUAGUAUUUAUAACAUGUUAAAAAGUGGCAUUUAUAUUAGUUUAGACUAGUGUUGCUGUUUCAGAAAGUUAUUUAAAGUAGUUGAAUUUUACAUGAGUUCACAUCAAUCAUAACAUGAACAUUAGUUAUUCAGCAUUUUAGAAUGAUUAUGUGUUUAUACACACACACACACACACACACAAAUUGUGUGUAAAUGUGAGGAUUGAUAUGUGUAGUCUGCAGAGAUAUAAAGAAUCUUUCUGGAAAGUAACAUCAAAGUGAACUCAACAUGAUUUGAGUUUCUGCAGAAUUAGGAUGAGAAACUGAAAACAAAAUGUCUUCUGAUUAACUAUGGAUAAUUUCUCCUAAUGAAUUAAAAUACAUAUUGGUGCUGCCUUUAAAAAAAUAUCUAUCAUAUACAGAUAUCAGCAUAAUCCUAGUUAAAACACCCCUACAUGGCUUUACUAUCUGUUGGGUAGAUAAUCAACAGUGAAGGCUAAAUACAUUAGAGAGGUAUCAUAGCUCCAAAUGCCUAGUGAUGCUCAGUGAUCAUUCUAAUAUGAUGUUAUGAAAGGUUAUUUGAAUUGAUGUCUAUAUUAAAUGUAACAGGUUUUGACAAUUCCAGUUUAGAUACUGUUACAUUAUAAAUAUCUUUUCUUUUUGACAUAUGGUCUUGAUACUAGGUUUCAAGUUAUUAAUAUCACGUUCCUUACAGAUAAAACUGCCAUCAAUCAACUAAUCAAUUUUAACUAGAGUGAAAAUUCUCCAAUUGGAAUUUAGGAAUACUUAAGGCUUUAUGCCUUAUGUUGCAUAAAACAAAACAGCAGAAUUCCACAUAAUGACCAAAAUUAUUUUAAAGAAUAAAUGGUUAGAUUGAGUAGUAUAUGGAUAAAUACUUCAUACAAAUUCAAGAAAUGUAAAAUCAAAAUUCAUGAAAGCUGAUUAUGAAAUCUCCUAACCUAUCAAAGCCAAAGAUCACGAUCUUAACACCUUACAAUGUCUCCUUACAAUAUUUUCCCUCAGAGAAGGGCAAUAUUAUGUCAUCAACUAAAGCAAGUGAAAUCUAUCCUUCAUAUCCAAUCCAGAAGUGAGUUUUUUCAACUAUAUUUCUUGAUAUUUCUGCGAUACAUUUAGUUAUUUCCUUUCUGAUCAGUACUACCUGGAUUCAAACUUCCAUCAUUUCUGCCAUAACCUCUUACAUGGUCGACCCGCACUAUUUUUAUCUUUUGCCAAAUAGAUAUUCUUUACAGAGUAGUCAUAAUCAUCUUUAUAAAGCACUAGUCUAAUGAUCCUCCACUGUGAACACACACACACACACACACACACACAUUUUACCUAACUACAUUAAUAUAGGUUUUACAUACUACAUUGUAUACUACUUGAAGUCAGAAGUCAGGCUUUGAUCAACAUUCCAUACCCAGCCUCUGACAAUAUUGAUGCAUAUUUGUCACAUGCUUGACAAUGGUUCUUUGGCCAGUGAUGGUCACUAACUCAAGAAAUGUUAUAUUUCAUUAGGAAGAAUUAAGCAAUCAAGUAUUUCAAUACAAAAAAAAAAGAAAGAGAAUAUUAUACAGUAGGGAUAAAUGCUGUGAAGGCAAUAAAACAAUGAGUUUUGUUGAAGAUUAUGACAGGGCAAAAGUGAAGGGAGGGCUGCUUUCACUGAUGUAGUUAGAAAAGGACUGGUGAGACCAUGUUAUUGGGCUGAAAUCAUGAAAGAGUCUGAGAAGCAGCCAGUUUUGUGAAGAUCCUCUGGGCAGAAAACAGGGUAAUUUACCACUGUCUCAUGGUGUCUCCACUUUCCUGCUAGACUGUUGUAAGAGACAGCCACUUUGGGAGGGUUCAUCAUUUUCUAUGUGGAGUACAAAUUGUUGAUAUUGUUUGUUUUUAACUAAGUCCAGGAUAAAAAAUGGUGGUGUUUGGGAGUUAUGCGCUCUCCCCUUACAAUCCCUAAAGGUGAUUAUGAAUUGUCCAAAAUCACAGUGCAUGCCAUCAUGCAUAGAGAGUAAUCUCCCAUCUCUUGGAGUUCUUAGGAGGACUGAGUCCCGUGGAGCAUGGCCUCACAGCUGUCUCCUGUUCUUGAAAUAAUUCUCAAACCAACAAAGUAGAUAAGUUUUACCCUGUCAUUGCCUUCCCACCUCGAGUACCAGAUGGGUGAAUGCACUGCUAUUGUUUGAAAAAUUCUUCUUUAAUUUUUUUAAUGAUCUUCCUAGAACUAUUUUUAUAUUCAAGAUUUAGAAAAAAAAGGAGUGCAUCCUCUGACUCAAUAAAUUACAAAGAACAUAUUUCAGUUCUGGUGUUGGAAAAACUUUUCCCACUAAAGUAUAAUUUUGGUUCUCAAAAGAUUAAAUAAGAUAAAAGCAUCUGAUGUUUUUCUAAUGAGGGGUUUCAAAAAUGGCUUUUAUACAAUAUUUAAAUAUAGUUAAUUAAAUUUACGAUAAUAAAACAUUUAUUUCAUUUAUUCAGAAAAAAAUGAAUUUUGUUAUAGAUUUCUCUAAGUAUUUUAGAUAGAAUGGCUUUACUUCAUCAUUUUCAAUCAGGUGUAUUAGAGUUUGUUUCCCUCCUGGUUGUAAGCCAAAAAUAUAUUAAAUCCUUUGCACUCUAGUAAUUAUUUAAUUAAUAGUCAAUUGGAAUGUAAACUUCAUAAAUAAAUUGCAAACUUCAUAAAUUCUUUCAUAUGCCUUCCAGAGGUUUUCAAAUUAAUGAAUGAGAAAUUGGCUGAAUUAUCAUUUGUAUGUCCACUUGCUGCAAAGAAUAGGAUUUUGAAAUUCUUUUGCAAGGAAGAAUGAUAUUUUAUUUUCAAUAAACUACCUUUGAAAAUAUUUGUGUGAUCUUAAGAAGCACCUUUAGGGAGAUACUUGAAUGUAAAUUUCAAACUAAAUUUCAUUUUGAAAAAAAAAACAGAGAAAACUAUUAAACUGCUCAUUUUACUUUGCAGUGUUUUCAUCCUACUUGGAUUUUACAUACCCAUUUAUUUUCUGUUACUGCUGGUCCUACUUAAAAUUCUGGAAGUAGGCCAUAUUGUUCUUUAUUGUCA